rnacentral:lncRNA from 1 species
GUUCCUCUUUUUUGAGACAGUCUCACUCUGCAAUCUGGGCUGGCCACAAACACAGUGAUCUUCCUGCUUCAGCUUCCAGUGCUGGGAUUUCAGGCAUGUAUGACCCUGCCUGGCUUUCCAAUAUGUCUUUUUGAAUAUAGUAUAUUGAGUAAGUUCCAUUGGUCAUGCACACUCUUCUGCACUGUGAGGUCACAAUGCACAUAGCUAAACAAUCUACAUCUUGUGGGAAGGUGACUGUAACUGAGAUAAUGCAAUAUUAAUGCCAUGUAUUCUCCUUUUACUCCAUAACAUUGAAAGGGCAUGGGUUAUAUAGAGGAAUAGAAAAUAAGUCGUGUGUGUGUGUGUGGUGCUGAGGAUCAAACCCAGGGUCUGGAGCAUAAUUCCUAUGUAGGAAGUGAGGCAUAACACAAGAAGAACUGAUUGUGUUUUCCAACACAGACCAUAUUUCACAUAUCCCACAAAGAAUUUCAGGUUGACUUGUAAUGUGAAGGAGAAUUUUAUUUUAUUUUUAUUUUUUGUACCCCACCCCCAAUUCCAGUCCUCUCUCCCAGUACUUUGUCCCUCUACCCACCUUGCCUGAUCCUCUUUAUUCCCAUCCUCACCUAUCCCCAGUUAGCCCAAGAAAGAGAUCAUUUGAAACGGGUCCACUAAGGUAGAAGCAGAGCUAAGCACAUCAGCUCUAUCAUUGAGCAACAUUCCCAGACCCUUGAAGACAGGGUUUAGUCAAUCACUGGCAGACCCUGAAUCGCUGUCCAUUCAUAGCACAAGUCUCCACUGAGAGCUUCUGGCGGCCAUCGAUGCUAGUGAGUGAACUGAGAGCUGUUUGUUUUCAUCACAGAGACAAGGACAAGGCGACGCUGUGAUAGCCCCGCCAUGCCGGCCUGUUGAGCGUAGUAGGUGGUGGAUGUCAGCACAUAGCAAAACACUGGUAACAGAAAGAGAUGCCAACCAAGGGGGGAAGUCAGCACAGUUUUCACUCUCAUAGGCUCGGCAGAGCACCCGCCAUGAGACGGCAGCCCUUCUCUAGGAAGUUAAGAGCCAUGUUGUAAAGAAGGAUCUACUAAUGGAAAUGAAUAUUAGCAACAAAAAUAGCACAUGCGUCAGGGCAUGUUGUUGGUGGAG